GGAGGGCGUGUGAGAUGGCGGCUGUGCUGCCUUUUACCACUGUCCCCCUGAGAGAGCCCCUUCUGCAGGUUGGGCUUGAGUGAGCAAAGGCGGGAAGAAGGCAGACGUUUGUCCUGUGUGAGAAGUCGGGGCGAUCAGCUCAGAGCGUGGGUGGAGCCUGCUGUGCUCAGGGACACCAGGUCCCUCCCAAGCGCGCCCAGCCUCUCCACCUGUUCCCGACCCUUGAGGACUGCUUUCUAGAGAUUCCGCACGACGCCUCUUACAUCUCACUGGGCUGAAGUCGGUCUUAGGGCCGCACCCAGCAGUAAGGGGAGCUGGGGAAGAUGGCCGUGUUCAGGGUAGUCCUGUAUCCACCUACAAACCGGGAGUUCUGUUGCUGACGAGGAAGGGGAUGGCACUGGGGGCCUCAUGUGGUGGGUGUGGCCUGGGAGUAGUUGCGAUUUUGCCCAGCGUUACGUGGACUCUGAGGGCUGAGCCCUCGAAGUCCUUAUGAAGCACUAAUUGAUCCUAACUGGUGCUUGGGUAGAAGCAGAAAGACGUGAAUAGAACAGAAGAGACGGAGCUGCCGACUGGCUUGGGAGCUUCGUCCAGGAGACGUCAGACCUUGCAGCUGCAGGGGCCUGGCCGGUUGUUUUUAUGUCGUUGGGGUAAUGGGAUAUCCACGCUGAAGAUAACUGGUAAGCGUCGCCGGAUACCGCAGCAGAUUCCGAAUGGGUUUGGGUUAAAGAACAGAAAACAGUUGGGUGGGGGGUGUGGGUGUUUGUCCUAGUGGUUAGGACACCCGCAUCCCAUGCUGGGGGCCCGGGUUUGAUGCCUGGCUCUGGCUCCUGACUCCAGCUUCCUGCUGAUGUGGACCCUGGAGGAGUGGUGAUGGCCCAGGUCAUUGGGUUCCCGCCCCCACGUGGGAGACCUGGACUAAGUUCCUGGCUCCCAGCUUCAGCUGCAGCCCAGUCCCGGCCAUUCUGGGCAUGUGAGAAUGUUCGGACGACUGAAGGAGCCCUCGCAGCUGCCUGGGUGUAGCGCCUGCCGUCUCGUGCACGUCCCUGGGGCGCGGACUCCGCCAGCUCCGGGUAAAUCAUGCACACUCCCGCUCUUCCUGCGUGUCCUCAGGUGCAGCUUGCUUCUUGAGUCUCACGUUUGUGAUUGGCCUACUUGGAAGCGCAGUGCAGCGAGUCUCUAAGGAAGUGGGGUAUUAACUUGUUUAUAUGUGCACUCAGCAAAUUCCUUGCCAACUGGCUCCGUGCGAAUGGAACUUGAAAUCCACAUGAUGCAUCAAGUCAACGUAAAAAGGCGAGCACAGGAUGUCUAAAGGUGAACUCAGCUUCCCUGGUUUAUGGAAGAGGAAACUGAGACGGCACGUUUGCUCGCGGGAAGUCGCAGGUGAUGAGUGGCGGGCUUGGUGCUGGACCUCAGCCCCCGGCCCCGGCCAGGAAGCCUGGAAUCCACGGAGACAGCAGAGGAGACCAGAGGGACACCCCGGCACUGUUCUGGGAUGUGUGUCAGGCCAGGAUGCGUCUGUCCUCAUCUGAAAAGGAACAGUUGGAAGAGCUGACACCAGAGAGGGUGCGCUGACACCACUCAGCACAUUGAGGAAGAGGAGGAGGAAGAAGGCUCGAGCAAUGGAGGAAGAGCUUUUGGAAAAAGCAAAGUGGAUCUCGUAUCAUCAGCUUUGUGCUCUCAAAAUUUGCAGAUGCCGAGAAGGAUGAGCUAAGACAGCAGACGGGGACCCAAAAGGAGCUCAUGGAUUUGGCGCUAGAAGGCAGAGCGUGUCCUGCGCGCGUUCACAGCGAGCCAGGGUGGGGGUGGGCGUUGGGCCCCGUGGCUCAGUGGUUGAGAUGCCCACAGCUCACGAUGGAGUGCCUGCAUUCCAUGCCUGCCGCUGGCUCCCUGCCAGCAGCUCCCUGCUGGUGCAGACCCUGGGAGGUGUCACCCAGAGGUGACAGCUGAGCUGCUGGGUUCCCGUCACCCGCAUGGGAGGCCUGGAUUGCAUUCCCAGCUCCUGGCUCUUCAGCCUGGCCCAAUCCUGGCUGUUGUGGGCAUGUGGGGAGUGAACAGGUAGAAACACUUUCUUUUUUAUUCUCUCUCUCUGUCUCUCAAAUAAAUACAUUUUUAAAAUUAAAAAAAAAAAUUGAGCCAUGUGGAAGGUCCAGGGGUCAGGAGGAGGAUGGACUGGCUGACCGGUGUGGGUGCUGAGGCCCUGGCGAUGGACAAGACCGGUCCAGCAUGUGGGCCCUGGAGGUUGCAGCUGGGGGCACGGCAAGAGGAACAGAGGAUUUGCCUGUGCAGAUUACAAGGGCUUCUCACAGACCAGGCAAAGCCAGUGAAGGUUAAUUCAAGAUCUAAGUGUCCAGGAGAAGGUUUUCAAUGUGUCAAGAGAAGAUCCUAGGAGCAUCCAGGCAGCAGGAAGCUUCUAGUCACAGAAGGAAUGCAGCCGUCUACACUGUCAGCUCCGGGGGCCGGGCAGCAGCACACCCAUCGAGGGUUUGGAGAAAAGGGAGGGACCCAAGAAUCUUAUACCCAGCUUAGUGUGGUUCCCACUUGACAGGGGCAGAAGUUCGCUUCUGUCACACAAGGACACACACUGCACACUGUGUAUUUUCGGCUCCACCCACACACUGUUCCUAGGGAAGGAACUUGAAGGAGCUUGGUCCAGAGAGAUGAAGAAAAUGUAAGAUCCAUGAAUGAACAAGACAGGCUGUGAUAAGGUAGGCACGGGUCAUCAGCUGUUCAAGUGUAAAGUGGUUUCUGAGUGAUUGUGAUGGUGGCGGUGCUAAUGACACAACAGGUUAAGCU